CUCAGAACGAACGCUGGCGGCAGGCUUAACACAUGCAAGUCGAACGCUGUAGCAAUACAGAGUGGCAGACGGGUGAGUAACACGUGGGCAACCUGCCUUGUAGUGGGGGAUAGCCCUCCGAAAGGAGGAUUAAUACCGCAUAUUGUCACAUUGAGGCAUCUCAAAGUGAUGAAAGGAGUAAUCCGCUACAAGAUGGGCCCGCGGCGCAUUAGCUAGUUGGUGAGGUAACGGCUCACCAAGGCGACGAUGCGUAGCCGACCUGAGAGGGUGAUCGGCCACAUUGGGACUGAGACACGGCCCAGACUCCUACGGGAGGCAGCAGUGGGGAAUAUUGCACAAUGGGGGAAACCCUGAUGCAGCAACGCCGCGUGAGUGAUGAAGGUCUUCGGAUUGUAAAGCUCUGUCUUCGGGGACGAUAAUGACGGUACCCGAGGAGGAAGCCACGGCUAACUACGUGCCAGCAGCCGCGGUAAUACGUAGGUGGCAAGCAUUAUCCGGAUUUACUGGGCGUAAAGGGUGCGUAGGCGGAUUUUUAAGUGAGAUGUGAAAUACCCGGGCUCAACCUGGGGGCUGCAUUUCAAACUGGAAAUCUAGAGUGCAGGAGAGGAAAGUGGAAUUCCUAGUGUAGCGGUGAAAUGCGUAGAGAUUAGGAAGAACACCAGUGGCGAAGGCGACUUUCUGGACUGUAACUGACGCUGAGGCACGAAAGCGUGGGGAGCAAACAGGAUUAGAUGCCCUGGUAGUCCACGCCGUAAACGAUGGAUACUAGGUGUGGGAGGUUUAACUCCUUCCGUGCCGCCGUUAACACAUUAAGUAUCCCGCCUGGGGAGUACGGUCGCAAGAUUAAA
rnacentral:rRNA from 1 species